GAAGUGGGUGCUCGCUGGGUACCUAAACCCAACCUCACAGACUACUACAGCUGCUCCCUUAUGAAGAUGUUUGUGCGUUCUGGUAACAGAGGUGACCUAUAGCGGGGCUCCAUACACUCGGUCUUCCUUUCCUCACUUCGGGGACUAUCUGCUCUUUGGGACUAACCAGGGCAGGUCAUACAGGAAGCAGAGGCUUGGAGGAAGACUGCGCAGCUCUUGUGGGAAGGGCGUAGAGGAAACAUCUGGGUGACGUCACUGCGGACUUUGCAGGUCGGGAGUUGGCACUCACCCUAUUUUUUUCUCGGUGGAAUGGAAGUCUACACUUGAAGGUGCUUGCUGGGACCCACGGAGCACGAUUUCUAAGAACCGCUUGGGCUGCUUCCGGGUGGAAUUCUCUCCUAAAACCUUUGCUACAAACAUCUAAACUUGUGGUCUUAAGGCAGGUGGUGGCCUGAGAGGAGGUGCUUGGACACGGGCUGCUGGUGGGAUAAGGGAUCAUCACACCCAGCUCACUAAGGAGGCAGAGGCUUUUCUGAGUGGGUGUGGAGAACUGUGGUGCAGAGCGUUCCUUACCGGCCCAGCAAGGUUCUCUGCCGUUUCCCUCCCACCACCUCUGGACCCCUAUCCAGACAUUCACCAGCGCUACAAAGGGCUCAGCGCCUACAGCGCUAUUUGUGGCUUUCAUGGCUCACGUGGGUCUCCUACUUGGUAGGGAGGAAGCCUUUGUGUACCAGGAAGGCCAGCCGAGGAGGCCGGCGCCUCCUGCCAUUUAAUCCUAAGCCACAGCAGCAGCUGCCUUUGUGGGGACAAUUUCUUUCCUUUCCAAAUAGGGACUCGAAGUCAUCUGUGCCUCUUGCUGCUACUGUUCCUUCGGAGCUGUGGUGCAGGGCAGCCAAUGCUCUUCUCUGCCCCAGGAAACCAUUCUCUGGGAGCAGGAAGCACACGGGAUAUGGGGGUUGGGUUUACCUUGAGAGACUCUCUCUCUCUCUCUCUCUCUCUCUCUCUCUCUCUUUUUUUAGUUUAUCUGGUAACAGACAUAAGUUGGCACAGUGACUGGCCCCACAGGACACCAGCAGGCAAAGACUGACCACAUUAUAAAGGUGCUCCGACUUCGAUGGGCAGACAUAGAGGAAGAUGUUUCCUCCCAAAGCUGCCUUCCAUGUACUGCAGAUGGGCUGCCUUGGAGAAAAAUGAGGAGUACCAGCUCCCGUUGGCUGCCUCAUCUUUUCCAUACCUUGGAUUCUCUAUCUCCUUGGCCUUCUGCCUCAUCUUGAUUUCUGGACCCCCACCGCUGCGUACCACUUAGUUGGGUGAACUCUGCAUAUCUGAGAAUGUAUUGUAUUGUUACCAUCUGUGUCCUACCUGCCAGGUGCUCACUGAUUAGCACUGACUGAUCCACCAGUGAAGGUUUGGAGGUGACACUGUACCCCCAAUGUUCCAACAGCCUUAGAGAGGACACCCAGCCUUGCCUCUCCUGAAGGAAGGUUUCUUUCUUCUUUUCUUUUUUUAUUAUAUGAAGUUACACUGUAGCUGUCUUCAGACACCCCAGAAGAGGGCAUCAGAUCUCAUUAUGGAUGGUUGUGAGCCACCAUGUGGUUGCUGGGAUUUGAACUCAGGACCUUCGGAAGAGCAGUUAGUGCUCUUAACCUCUGAGCCAUCUCGCCAGCUCUGAAGGAAGGUUUCUUAAAGCUGUCUUGAGGUCUGGGAGACAGUGAAACCAUCAGGUGCUUGUUCUGAAAAUUCAAGGACCUACGUUCAAACCCCAGAGACCCAUGAGAAAAAAGCAGCCAGGGCGUGUGUCUUUAAGCCCAGAGCUGGGGAGGAGACAGGAGGAUGCCUGAGGCUCGCUGGUAAGCCAGGCUAGCCUCCUUGGGAAGUGAGAGAUUGUAAAUUUAAUUUAUUUUUAAAACCUUAUUUUAAAACCUUAGUUUUAAUGAAUGUUCUUCAGUGCUUUAACAUCCCUUGUAGCCCACCACCCACCAGCGGUAGUGGGAAAGAAAGGAUAUAGGGGACAUGGACCCGUUGAGAAAGGUUCUUUGGAACAACUCCCUUCUGUGUUGUCUGGAAAUCGGCCGUUCAGUUCACAGGUCAGCAGCAGCAGCUCCAUCCACUCACAAACACUUCAUGGAUACACCAGCAUGUUGCAAGAUAUUUCCUAUACAUUCCAUUGAGGCAGUGAGAAGCCAGAGAUUGGAGGAAGAGCUAAGAGAAGUGAGGGUUUCUCUGUGUAGCUCUUGCUGUCCUGGAACUCACUCUGUAGACGAGGCUGGCCUCGAACUCAGAAAUCCGCCUGCCCAGCUGCGAAGAUCAGUGAAGACAUGAGAUCAGAAAGCACUGCACAGCUGGCUGUGUGAGCAAGCUAAACUCUGUCUCGGCCACGCCAUAUACUCCUGUUUAAACCCUCCAAACAUCAUGUGUCCUUCGAGUGCCUUACCUCAGCAGCACGUGUGUGUCUCAGCUGACAUCACUUUGCCAAUCAGCCCGAGUCCUCAGAAAGGGCAACAAACUGCAGCACAUCACCAGAAGAUUUUUGGUGCAUUUCUCUCUAUGGUGUCCCAAUACAUGCAGCUUGACUAUGCAACAUAAGGCAGACCAAUACAUGCGCGUCAUUAACAAAGAAUCCUUCAUCACGAGUCCUUUCAUGUGUUUGCUUUUGCAGAACAUCCUCUGUCCUGUGUCUGCUUCAGUGAAACGUUCCUUCACGAGUCUGCCUUAGCCUUUCACACCUGUGUCCACUUUAAAUAAAUGUUCCUUCAGGUGAUUGCCCCAGCUAAACAACCAUCCAGCUAGCUUUCCAAAGAACCCUUAAGUUUCCACUUCAGCAUAUCAAUGUGGGACUCACCUUAGGAAACAAUGUGGGUAUCAUCUGAAGAACACUGCCUGAG